CGAACGCUGGCGGCAGGCCUAAUACAUGCAAGUCGAACGGCUCUUCGGAGCAGUGGCGGACGGGUGAGUAACGCGUGGGAAUGUGCCCUUAGGUACGGAACAACACAGGGAAACUUGUGCUAAUACCGUAUGUGCCCUUCGGGGGAAAGAUUUAUCGCCUUUGGAGCAGCCCGCGUUGGAUUAGGUAGUUGGUGAGGUAAAGGCUCACCAAGCCGACGAUCCAUAGCUGGUCUGAGAGGAUGACCAGCCACACUGGGACUGAGACACGGCCCAGACUCCUACGGGAGGCAGCAGUAGGGAAUCUUGCGCAAUGGGCGAAAGCCUGACGCAGCCAUGCCGCGUGUAUGAUGAAGGUCUUAGGAUUGUAAAAUACUUUCACCGGGGAAGAUAAUGACGGUACCCGGAGAAGAAGCCCCGGCUAACUUCAUGCCAGCAGCCGCCGUAAUAC
rnacentral:rRNA from 1 species